UCCUACGGGGGGCAGCAGUAGGAAAUCUUCCACAAUGGACGAAAGUCUGAUGGAGCAACGCCGCGUGAGUGAAGAAGGGUUUCGGCUCGUAAAGCUCUGUUGGUAGUGAAGAAAGAUAGAGGUAGUAACUGGCCUUUAUUUGACGGUAAUUACUUAGAAAGUCACGGCUAACUACGUGCCAGCAGCCGCGGUAAUACGUAGGUGGCAAGCGUUGUCCGGAUUUAUUGGGCUUAAAGCGAGUGCAGGCGGU
rnacentral:rRNA from 1 species